UUUUAUAUUUGAUUAGUUGUAUAAUUUGUUGUAUAUGAUGUAUUUGUUGUUUAUGAUGGAAGAUUCUUUGUCUUAUCGUUGUCUUUAUUAAUGGUGGAGCUUGGAGGAUUAAAUUCAAUAUUACCAAGAAGAUAUUUUCUUUCAGUCCUAUCUGUUUCUGAUGCUCCUACAAUGAUCAUUGGCAUUGAUUCCUCUGUGGGCUCCCCAGGACAAAGUAUUCCUUCAAGUGUAGUGGUUAUAGUGCACAAGGCAUAGGACAUAGUGCAUAGGGUAUAGGACAAAAUACAUAGGGCUUAAGGUAUAGGACAUAGGGAAUAGUUCAUAGAACGUAGUAUAUAGGGCUAAGGCAUAGGUCAUAGGACAUAGGGAGAGCUUAGUUGACAUUAGAGGCUUAGGUCAAAGUAAGGUUAGGGUAUAGGUUUUAGAGUACUAGGACUUAUGACUUGGGUCAUAAACCUUAGAACUUAUUUAUACUGGGACUUGAGUUCAAAUUUCUUCUCGAAGUUAUUAUUGCUUUUGCUAGAUUGUUUUGCUGUUGUUUUAUUUUUAAAAUUACUUACACGUUUUUGCUCUAUAAAUAUUUCUGUCAAAAUCUAUGGAUCAAAUAUUUUACAGAUUUCAUCGAAAUGGAAAAUCAUGUUUCAAGAAGAGGAUUUGAUGCACAAACAAAACAAAAACUUUAAGGGUCUUAAAUUGUGGGUGGUUGAUGCUUGAUGCUUGAUUCUUAUUAUUCUGACAUUACAGGCAUUCGUUUGUCGAAGCAAUUAUGGUUUUUAACAUAUGCUACUUAUGUUUAACAGUAAUAGCUAUACUCAAGUAGAAACACAAGUUUUACAAGCUUCCAAGUUGGAGAUCGGAGAUGGGAGAAAUUCAAACCAAGAAACGGGAGAUAGAGCUUAUGUCUUCUGCCUGAUGUGCUGCACAAGGAUUUCGAGAAGAGGAUUUGAUGCACAAACAAAACCUAAACUUUAAGUAAUAGCUAUACUCAAGUAGAAACACAAGUUUUACAAGCUUCCAAGUUGGAGAUCGAAGAUGGGAGAAAUUCUAACCAAGAAACGGGAGAUAGAACUUAUGUCCUCUGCCUGAUGUGCUGCACAAGGAUUUCGAGAAGAGGAUUUGAUGCACAAACAGAACCAAAACUUUAAGGCAUUUUUUUGUCGAAGCAAUUAUGGUUCUGAACAUAUGCUCCGAAUGUUUAACAGUAAUGGCUAUAAUCAAGUAGAAACACAAGUUUUACAAGCUUCCAAGUUGGAGAUCGGAGAGGGGAGUACUUCAAACCAAGAAACGGGAGAUAGAGCUUAUGUCUUCUGCCUGAUGUGCUACACAAGGAUUUGUAGGAGAUCUUUUCAAGUGCAGUGAAAUUAAAACAAUUAUCUUUGCAAUAAAUAUGUUCCACCUAAUCUCAGAGUGUGCCUCGUGGAUGCUAAAGUUUCUUGGAUUCUGCAAUUCGUUGUAUUUCUCUUUCUUGACAGAAAGAAUUGGUGAGUUAUUUUAUUUAUCUUUUGCAUAAAAUAAAAAUUUCAAAUUCAUUAUUGUUAAAAAUUAACUAAACUUGAUUGGGUUCGUUAAAGAAUAAGGUACUUACCGAAAUAGGGACUAUUGUCGAGUGUUGCCUCUACCAUUAACUAUCAACGAUCAAUAUUUAUCAAAUGUUUGGAUGAAGAUCAAUGUUAAGUUUGAUGGAUUGAAUUCAAUAUUACCAGGAGAAGGUUUUCUUUCCGUCCAAUUUGUUUCUGAUGCUCCUUCCCUGAUCAUUGGCAUUGAUGCGCCUAUGAGCUCCCCAAGACAAACUAUUCCAUCAAGUCUAGUAGUCAUAGGGAAUAGGGCAUAGGGCGGGGGGCAGAGGGGAAAGGGUAUAGGGCACAGUGCAGAGAGGAUAGGAAAUAGUACAUUGGGCAUAAGGCAGAGGACAUAGGAGGGCUUAGUGAACGUUAAAGGCUUUGGUCAAAGUAAGGUUAGGGUAUAGGAGUACUAGGACUUAUGACUUAGGUCAUAAAGCUUAGGAAAUAGUUAUAGUGGGACUUGAGUUCAUAUUUCUUCUCGAAGUUAUUUUUGCUUUUGCUAGAUGGUUUUGUUAUUGUUGAUGUUUUAUUUUUAAAUUUUGCUUACAUGCUUUUGCUCUAUAAAUAUUUUUGUCAAAAUUAUGAAUCAAUUAUUUUACAAAUUUCAUGGAAAAUCAUGUUUCAAGAAGAGGAUUUGAUGCACAAUGUCAGUGAGUGUUGGAUGUUGAACUGACUGGAGAUAUUAAACCAGUGUCAAACACAUGACCUAUUACAAAUUUACGUCCAAUGUUCAUGGGAGGCCUAGGUGUUUAUGCAUGUGCGUGCAUUUAAUGCCCUGUAUUAUUAGGCCAUUUACAUUUGAAUUUUUAUGCGGCUAACAAUUUUUCUGAAUGCCCGUAUUUUCUCUGAUCUUAUAAUAUUGGGAUCUUAUUCCAGACUUAUUGAGAAGUCCUCCUGUUCAGCAUAUGAUGUUGUUCUCAGACACAUUUUCAAAAUCCUGGAUCGUCGUCAGGAGGCACUGAUGUUAUGGAUGCUGAUAACUCUUCAGGAUACAAUUAUUUCAUAGAUCUUCCGAAGGAACUUUUUCAUAUGCUUUCUUGUAAUGGACCUUAUCUAUACCGUGAUACUGUACUUCUUGCUGUUUUUUCAUGUUAACUUGGUCCUUCUUGCUAUUUUUUUUUUUAAUGCUGAUAGGACUUCUCCUCUUCCAUUUUCUCUUAAAAUAUGAGUAGGUUUGUAGGGUCUUGAGAGGUUAUUACCUUUCUGCUCUUGAGCUUGUAAGUCAUGGCAAUGGUGCCUUGAAUCCUCAAUUACAUGUUAAGGAGGCACGGCUAAGGGUGGAGGAUGCUUUAGGAGCAUGUGUACUUCCCUCUCUGCAGUUAAUUCCCGCCAAUCCUGCUGUUGGCCAAGAGAUAUGGGAACUAAUGAGUCCUCUUCCUUAUGAAUGUUGCAAGCUUGAUUCUUUGUUAUUCUCAUUUUCUUUACUCUUUCUGUACAGUUGGACACUAGACGUAUUUUGAAAAGGCUGGCAAAGGAAAAUUUGAAGCAGCUGGGUCGGAUGGUUGCAAAAUUAGCUCAUGCCAACCCAAUGACUGUCCUGCAAACAAUUGUUCAUCAGUUAACUGUGAACCACAGUUUCUCCCUAACUGAGAAUUUCACCCCCAAAUUGAAAACCCUUGAAGCUAGGGUUCGAGAGGAUUGAGAGAAAUUGGAAGAGAGUUCCAUGGUUCCUUCGCGACGAUGGACUAGGAGGCUCGAUUCAAUGGACCAGAGGCUGCCUACAAAGAUUGAAGCUACAAAAGGGGAUGAUUGAGGGGCGCGAACAAAACCCUUUAUUAAAGCUGGUGCGAAGUCACUCGAAGAGGAGCGCGAAGCAUGUCGAAGGCUCGCCGCCGUCGAAGGUUCACUAUCGAAGGCUUUGCCACACUCGCCGUAACACUUCUCCUUUAGCUGGAACUGUGCAACCCAAAGAGCUGCAAGGAAAGGGGAGAUGGGAGAUGCUGGGAUGAAAGCUGAAUUUUGUGAGGCAUAUAUAGGUAGCCAUAACCGUGAGUGGUGAAGGGGAAGAUAAAGGUUAUUGGAGGCGGUGGUAGCAAGUGAUAAUAGAUAUUGAACACUAAUAAUAUGCUUUUCUUGCCAAUAGAUUCCUCGUCUUGUCUUUCCUUGAAAUAUUACUUUGCUUCUGCGAAAGAACUGAUGCGGUUGAAUGGCACCACAAAAUCCUUUGUAGCUAACCAUCUGUCAAUAACACAGAUGCUGAGGGUAGGCUUACUCUUGUAGAUGCUCUGGUGUAUGCUUGUAACCAGGGUGCUGAGUACUGUAAAGUUCGUUGGCUGGUCCAGUUUGGAAUGAAAAGCAGUGUUGUGCAACAAGAUUACUGCAUGCAUUAUAAGUAAACUAAAAAUUAGUUUAUUGAACUGCACUGUACUAUGAGUGGACUAAAAACCAGUGCAGUUCAGUUCAUCCGAACUACUUUUAGUUCAGUUUAGUUUAGGAAAAUUGUUUUAUAGUUAACUGCAAAUUUUUAUAGUACAGUGCAGUGCAGUAUACUUUGCCCACCUGGUUGCAUGGGUUGUAUUGAUGAAGAUGUUUUGUGAGAGUGCAUGUAAAAGAAAUAACGGUAACAAAAACGAAAGGCUAAUGUUUUAUUUGGGAGAGAGCUGAUUAUAAAGAA